UAGUGGAAGGCAUCACUGGGCACUUGCUGAGGCCAAAGCUCUGCAAAGGGCCUACUGCUGGCCUUGCCUUGGAAUGAACCCCAUUGUGAGACUUGGGCUGUACGCCCUGCCUCCAAUUAAAUAUCUCUCUCCGUUCCGUAAAAUGCCAAAUGAUUACAAGGAGCGGCUGAUGCAAUGCUGUUCCCAGCCAUUGCCCAUUGGAGCUGAAGUUUGAAGAGCAAGUAGAGGUUGAAAGAACAGGAGAAAAAGCAUCUCUGCAUUCAUUUAUUUCUUUUCCUUAAAAAAAAAAAAAAAUCCAGCUUGGGCAAGCCGCCUUAAGAGGAUUGGAAAACACAGAUGUAGCCAACACCAAAGGCUACCGAGCAAAGGAUGGGAAGAAAGCAAAGCAGACCAAAGGCAAAUGACUUAAAUGCUGCUGAGAUGAAUUGCUGAAGCGAAAAAAAUACAUGUCAAGGCAAUUAUGGUUAA